GAUGAACGCUAGCUACAGGCUUAACACAUGCAAGUCGAGGGGUAACGAGAGGAAAGCUUGCUUUCCUUGUCGACGACCGGCGCACGGGUGAGUAACGCGUAUCCAACCUGCCCCCAACUAAGGAAUAACCUUGCGGAAGUAAGACUAAUACCUUAUAAUUUCCUCAGAUGUCAUCUGACGAGGAAUAGAGAUUUAUCGGUUGUGGAUGGGGAUGCGUCUGAUUAGCUUGUUGGCGGGGUAACGGCCCACCAAGGCAACGAUCAGUAGGGGUUCUGAGAGGAAGGUCCCCCACAUUGGAACUGAGACACGGUCCAAACUCCUACGGGAGGCAGCAGUGAGGAAUAUUGGUCAAUGGGCGAAAGCCUGAACCAGCCAAGUAGCGUGCAGGAUGACGGCCCUAUGGGUUGUAAACUGCUUUUAUACAGGAAUAAAGUUAGCCACGUGUGGUUAUUUGUAGGUACUGUAUGAAUAAGGACCGGCUAAUUCCGUGCCAGCCGCCGCGGUAA
rnacentral:rRNA from 1 species